rnacentral:rRNA from 1 species
CCAGCACCUGCGGUAAUUCCAGCUCCAAUAGCGUAUAUUAAAGUUGCUGCAGUUAAAAAGCUCGUAGUUGGAUUUCUGGCUUGAAACAUUUGGCCGGCCACGGUUUCGUGUGUUAGUGCUUUGUGUUCUGGCCAUCCUUCCAAUCGCAAUUGGCUAUUCUUCAUUGAUUGGUCAGUUGUAUUGGAUCUUUUACUUUGAAAAAAUUAGAGUGUUUCAAGCAGGCUUUAUGCUAUGAAUACAUUAGCAUGGAAUAAUAAUUUAGGACUUCGGUUCUAUUUUGUUGGUUUCUAGGACUGAAGUAAUGAUUGAUAGGGAUAGUUGGGGGUGCUAGUAUUCAGCGGCCAGAGGUG